UGCAGAGAAAAGUCUAGUUUACUUAGGCGCUCAAUCAUUUCGAUCAUGUAUAGUACAUGAUCGAUGACUGAGGCCCCAUCUCUCAUUCGAGCAUUGAAAAUGGCACAACUAGUUUUGUGCCUUUCAACGUCGUCAGGCGUGCCAAAGAAGUUGUUCAACAUUUGAAGCAUCUCCUGUGGCUGGGCAUUCUCAAACCUACGACUGAACUCAUCAUUCAUUGCCGCCAGCAUUAUGCACCGAA
rnacentral:lncRNA from 1 species